GGCUGGCACUUAAGGCUGACAACUACCGCCAUCUAUGAGCUGUCUGUCUAGGAAAUGUGGAAACCUAAACAUCUCACACCCCAAUGGGUCUCCAGGGCUUGUUACAGGGAUAACUUUACUUUUUUUACUUACUUUUUAAUUAAAAGAAAUAAUUGUUUUGCUAUGAAAUGUCUGUAUUGCCUUAGAGCGCAGGUAACUUUUUAGCUUUCUAACUUAUUUCUCAUUAUAUAACUUCCAGUGGUUUGCCAGCACUUUGAUACAUCAUUGAAAGAUAUUUUGGUUGGUCACGUAAUUAAUUUUGUUCCAUACACUGCACUAUGGAUUUCAUUGAGUAAAAUGAUGAUAGGUGCUCAAUAUGACAUUCAAGAAGUAAGGCGAGUUUGUUGGAUUUUCAGUGGACAAUCCUGUGGUUGUGACAUCCGUCAUUUGGCUCAUGGUAUUGUGCUGCAGGCAGAAACCCUUGGACAGUAGUCUGCACUGUUUGUGAUUUGAUUCAGAAACUCUUGUGCUGCUGUCUGUUGUGGAUCCCUUCACCUGCUGAAAUCUGGUGAUGCAGGUUAUGUUCCAGCAAACAGCAAACAUUACUUUUUCAGUUGAUGCUGCUGCUCGAGACAAUUUACACAUAGGUGAUGAAGGAUUUGCUAGCAUAAAUCAGGGUGGAAGUGAUGCACCCAUGACACAUCAUGAGACAGCAAACCCUGCAUUUUCUUUAUGUUACAUGUCAACUAAUGUGACAUUCAGUUCAUACACACACUGCUUACGGACUGAAACAGCUCUCAUUUGCAAUGCAAUUUAAAGUUACGUGGUAAUUUUUCUGAAUUGGGCAUUUUGCUUCCUUGAUACUGUCAUGUGCAAUGACACUGUAUAUUUGUCUGGCUGUGGAGUGUCAUUCAACCCAUAUACACAAACUUUGAGCUUGUUCAUGUACAGAUGAGGUCUUCUGAUAAGAACUUUAAUGGCUUGCAUUUAUGAUAAAUAUUCACUUGUUUGCUCCCUUCAUCUACUGAUAGUUAAUAAAACCACACAUCAUCAUCCUAGUACAUGAAGCCUUAUGAACUGCCAUUCUGGAACUCUGAUAGUAUAGUUAUCUGUGCAUUUUUAUGCUUAUGCCAGCUAUGUUGCAUGCAUGUAGGCAGCUAAAGGUUACCGCUAAAGAAAGUGAAACAGUUUAUUGUUGAAAGCAUUUUACAUGAAUGAAACAGUUACUUCUGUUUGCAUUGCCCAUGUAUAUUUCAGAUGGUAGAAAGGCAGCCACAAUAUUUUAUUUGGGUUGAUUUAAGGUGAUUGGAAAGGUACUUUUCUAGAACAGAAGAGGCUACUCUGAGAUUUGAGGUUGUUACUUCAGUGGCUUUAAGGAUAUAAUACUGUGUAGCUUGAUAUAAGUUUACCAGUGCUUCAGAUGGAAAUGCUGCCCUCAUCUUCAGAUUUGAAGAGUAAGAAGGCAGUAGGUACCCCUGAAAUAUCCAUUAACUUCUGCCAGACUACACGGUGUCACAUAUCAGAAGAUAAUACUCUUCAAAAGAGUCUGUUGUUUGUGUGAGGUAUCAUGUUGAACACACACGAGGAGUAAGGAGUGCUGGACAUAAAGGCUCUUGUUUAGGUCACUGAUCAUACUGACUCUCCUUUCCUCCUCAGGAAGAAUAUUCAGAAAUAAGAGUGCAGUGUCAGGUGCAUUUGUAACGGUUUCAUUACAUACAUCACAACGUGUUACAGUUUCCACUGUCAGGAGAAGUUAACUGUCAUGAAGGAAAUGAAGUUAAGGAUAUGGAUGAUGGUGAAGAAUUUUCUUUUUGUUUACUUUCCAUACAGUACGGACAAUUCUUCGUAAGAUGAGGCACCGACUACACAAUUAAUUUGCAACAUCAUGGGCCUCCUGUACAUUCUUAUAUAAAUGAAAUAUUGAACUUCCAAUUGGUCCAUAGAAACGUAUGGAAAGUAAAAAAUCAACAACCGAUUCGAUGUUGUAUAACAUUAACUUAAGUUUUAUCUUGUUUUAUACAAUAACUUUAAGUUUUUUAUAUAAUCUGACUUAUUGUAUUUUUACACAAAGUAUUUUAACAUUGUAUCCAAUCUAUAGUACAGCAGUUCAAUGGUGUAUGUUUGUUGAUAUGUGUUUGCCUGAUGCUGGCCGUUAGUGGCUGAGACAUGUUGCGAAGCCCUGAUUUUUUUCUAUUUGUUGUGUUUUGAUGGUCUAUAAAAGAGUUGGAUGGUGAAGAAGAUAAUGUAAGUGAGGAUGAAGAUAAUGAGAAUGAUGAUGUUUUUCCAGAAGAGGAGGAACAGAAUGAAGGUAAUGAUGACAGUGGAAUGGAUGAAGGAAAUAAGCCACUGAAGAGGAAAUACGUUGAGUGAGUGAAUCUGGUAAUACUCUUGACUUCCAGCUGACUGAGAAGAAAGUGCUCACUGUUACCAAUACGUUAUUUCUGUAUAUUGCAGUUUUAUUGUGUUUAUGUUAGUGACCAUGUAAAUAUUUGACUGCGGUAGGAAUUCUGUUAUUUGUAUAAUGUCUUACUGUUCUGGAUUGACAUAAAAGCAUGAUUUUAAAAUAUGUAGUUCAUAGGUUUUCAGAUAUCAUCAGUGGAAUAUAGUGUUUUCAUUUACUUUCAUUCCAACUUCUAGUCCAAAGCUUGCAUUCAAAAGUGGUCUGAAUUACGGUUAGAUAUAAUCACUAUUAAAUAUGGUAGAUACUUUAUAUUUACUUGACCUCUUCAUAGCACUAAAUUAGAUUUAUAUCAUAUAAAAUAGUUACAAUAUUGUAUAUUUUAACAGCAUGCACUAAUGAACCUGGGAAGUGUGAAAGACAAAAUUUCCUUAUGUAAUUCAUUAUAUCUAAACACAUUUUGUCAUGAAUACAAUGGAUUUUUAAUUACAGAAAGUGUCACAUUGUGUCCUUUGCUUCCAGCAAAGAAGGUGGCAUUUUGAUUAAUAGUAUUCUCACAGCCAGAAUGUAGGAGGUAUUUUUUGUGACCUGCAAAAGGCUUUUGAUUGUGUAAAUCACAAAAUUUUGUUGGAUGAACUGGAACUCUAUGGAAUAGAAGGUAUAUUUAAAACACUAUUAGAUCUUAUGUAUCUGGUAGACAUCAGAAAGUUCUUUUGGGUCAUAUAACUGAUAGGAACAAUACAUCUAAGUGGGAAAUAGUUAAAUGUGGAGUCCCACAAGGCUCGAUUCUUGGCCCCCUGCUUUUUUUAUCUUAUAUAAAUAAUUUACCUAAAAUAAUAAAUAAGGAUAAUAACAUGGUUCUAUAUGCUGAUGACACCAGUAUUAUAAUUACCGAUACUAAUAAUGUAAACUUUGAAACAAAUCAUAACCAAACUUUUAAAGACAUAAACACUUGGUUUAAUGUUAAUUUACUUACCGUAAAUUUCAAUAAAACUCAGCAUUUAGAGUUUCGGUCUCUGAAUUGUAACACAACGAUACAGAUUAAUUAUGAUCAGGAAAGCAUCUCCAGUGUAACAGAAACUAAGUUCCUUGGUUUGAUUACUGAUGAUGUAUUAUCUUGGAAACAGCAUAUUGACCUAGUGAUCAGUAGAUUAUCCUCUGCAUACUAUGCAUUGUGAAAUAUAAAACAUAUUGUAUCAUUUGCAACGUUAAGGCCAAUCUACUUUGCUUACGUACACUCCAUCAUGAGUUAUGGUAUAAUCUUCUGGUGUGCCUCCUCACAUGCCAGGAAAGUGUUUUCUUGCAAAAGAAAAUUGUUAGAAUCGUAACGAACACUAAACCUAGAGAUUCUUGCAGGGAUAUAUUCAAGAAAUUGGAAAUUAUGACAUUAUAUUCUCAGUAUAUAUACUCACUACUUCUAUAUAUAUUUAAUAAUAAACAUUUAGUUAACUUUAAUAACGAGAUUCAUGAAUAUACAACUAGAUCCCAAGGUAAUUUACAUGUACCUUGUGUGAGUACUUCAAAAUUUGAUAAAGGAGCCUAUAUAACAGGUACUGAAGUGUUCAAUCAUCUUCCACGAUCAAUAAAGAUUUUGGUCAGUGAUGAGAAAAGCUUUAAAUUUACAUUAAAGAGAUUUUUAUGUCAUAUUGUUUUUACUCUAUAAAUGAAUACUUUCAGUACAAAGAAGAUAAAGGUUUGUAAUCCAGAUAUUCUCUUGAAUUGUUUGUUAGGUUGACUUUACACAUGAUGUAUUUAUUACCCGCUGACUAGUCACUCGGUGUUUAAGGGUAUCAAUUUUAUGGUAGUAUGGUACUGUAA